CGGCGUAGUAUGGAAUGGAGUUCCUUAGUUGUGAAAAUCCCGGGUGUUGGGCAAGCUUUGGAGACGUCGCGUGACCCGGAGGAAGAACCCUACCGUGACCGAAAGAACCCGUCUUACGGUGGUGUCUCACGUAACACAGACAGGCCGGAAUGUUGCCGUGGAUGACCUAGAAGUCCUGAAACUCCUGACUGCACAUUGGAGUGCCAACGUGAAGCAGGCUAAUGCAUCCCGCUGCAUCCAACAUCUUUAACAGCAUUGCAGCUGGGAGUGCUGACAAGCAGAAGCAAAUCUGACGCCAGCGUGGCCUCUAUGGCCAGUUCCAGGUGAGCCAGAGGUACACAGCGAGCCCUAGCUCAAAAAGGAACAAAAGCAAACGACUAGUGUAGUACUUACCCCACAUGCAGCUGUUGGGAGAAUAUUCAGCACCAGGACUUCAGAAAUGCAGAUGCGCAAUUCCUAUCCUCAAGAAGCUCAGGGGGCACUAGGCGUCCUUUAUGCCGGUAUUCCCAAUCUGGACCCUUUGCCAAAGGAUUAUAUGAAGCCAGCCUGGGCUAUAUAAUGAGUCCCUGGCCAGCCUGGGCUGCACAGACCCUGACUCAAAAAACAAAACAAAACAAAACCAAAAGCAAG
rnacentral:sRNA from 1 species